ensembl:lncRNA
GAGAAGGAAGAAGUAUGAUAUCUUAAAAGUUUUAAGAAAUUACAUGAUUAAAUAAAAUUUAUCUAAACUAAGCAAAAGUAUUAUUAUUUUUCCCUGAAGAAUUCCAGCACUAUUUCCUGACAGUAAGCCAUGCUUUGGCAGACACUGAAUUUUAAUUUGCAUUCAUUUUCCACUUUGAGGUCGGAGUGUGUCUCUACUAGCGUCACGCAGCCUCUGACUCUACGCACGGUUCUGAGAAACUCUAUGACUCUAUUUGCCCAGCAGCGUUUGAUUUAUAAGUAAUUAUGUGUUAAUGGCUGGUAUAGUAUCGUCACACAGGGCUUCAUCUUGUGUUGAGGCGCUGCUUGCUAACGCUGAGCUCAUUCAUUAGUGUUGACAGCAUUGAAAUAUUAGCUAAGGGAGGGAAUUAGGUGCAGAGGUAUGCGAAUCGGCACAGUUUCACACGUCAAACUUACAUGAACACACCGUAAUCUGCAUUUGUUCCUACAUACAAAUGUAUGCCUUUAGAGCUCUUAGUAACCUUUUAAGUAACACAUAAUUGUGGAUUUACAUAUGAUGACUUUUAUGAUUUUGCUUUGGUGGUAUAUAAUAUUAUGAAUUACCUAUAUUAAUAACCUGGAUUUAAACUGAGAAUUCUCCCCAAAAUUUAAAUUCUGUCAUUAUUCACUCACCCUUAGUGGUUAAACAUUUUUUAAGAGCCCCAUGGCCACAUAUUUCUGGACAGUUGCACCACCUGACAUUUUUGCUUUACAGCCCUUAAAAGUGUCUAAAUUAAUUUUAAUUGAGAAAUAAAACAGUUUUCUUCAUACAACGCGUAUACUGAGGUCAUUGCAUGAAUUGAAUUUUUAAUGUAUUAUUAAAUAUUUAGAUCAACAAGCAUCCUGUCAUGUUUAUAUAUGUAUGGAAGCUGGUCUCAUGUGGCUGAAUGCAGUACAAGAGCUCUUAUAAAACAAGCAUGUGAGAUGCUACAGUGGGCUCAUUGAUGAUGAUGUGCCCAAGUGGCCAAUCAGAACAUUGCUUUAUUACCUGCUUCUCCACCGAGAUGAGAAAGAGAGAAAAUGCAUCUGAAAAACAUAACAUUAACAUACAGUCUGGUGGAAUAUCCAUCCCAGCAUCUGCA